rnacentral:rRNA from 1 species
GCCUAUGGCCAUACCACCCUGAGAACGCCCGAUCUCAUCUGAUCUUGGAAGCUAAGCAGGGUCAGGCCCAGUUAGUACUUGGAAGGGAGACGGCCUGGGAAUACUGGGUGCUGUAGGCU